rnacentral:rRNA from 1 species
GGGUCAGUAGGUUGGUCGUGCCACCGGUACGUACUGGUCUCACUGAUUCCUCCUUCCUGAAGAACCGUAAUGCCAUUAAUUUGGUGUUGCGGGGAAACAGGACUGUUACUUUGAAAAAAUUAGAGUGUUUAAGGCAAGCUAACGCUUGAAUACAUUAGCAUGGAAUAAUGAAAUAGGGCGAUCGAUCCUAUUUUGUUGGUUUCUAGGAUUGACGUA